AAUGAACGCUGGCGGCGGGCCUAACACAUGCAAGUCGAACGAGUGGCGGACGGGUGCGUAAUGUCUGGGAAACUGCCUGAUGGAGGGGAAUCAGUACUGGCAAAGGUAGCUAAUAACGCAUACCAGCAGAUGUGCCCAGGUGGGAUUGUCUAGUGGGUGAGGUAAUGGCUCACCUAGGCGACGAUCCCUAGCUGGUCUGAGAGGUUGACCAGCCACACUGGAAAGGAGAAACGGUCCAGACUCCUACGGGAGGCAGCAGUGGGGAAUAUUGGGCAAUGGGCGCAAGCCUGAUGCAGCCAUGCCGCGUGGAUGGAGAAGGCCUUCGGGUUGUAAAGUACUUUCAGCGGGGAGGCGUUACCCGCACAAGAAGCACCGGCUAACUCCGUGCCAGCAGCCGCGGUAAUUC
rnacentral:rRNA from 1 species